AAAUAAUGCCAGGAUGUUACAAGGAAACACAUGCACAGUAGAUGGCAAUGGUUUAAGGUCCAAGAAUUCCAUAAGACAAUUUAAGGUGAGAGGUCUUGGCAAGGAAGACUUGUGCAAGAAAGUUCAAAUGAGAACCAAUGAAAUGCUCAGGAACCUGUAGUUUGUAUUGGAUGCACAAACAAGUCAAGGGUAUGCAUAAGGGAUGAAACUUGUUUGAUAUGUGACAAGGUACAUCUUUAGUGUACAUGAGACAAAUGUAGCAUCCACUGGAACAGGUGCUGAAAACCUAAAUCAUUCUUCACAUUCUGAAACUAAGCAGAUAUCAGUGUCUGUUGCAAACAGGAGAUGAAACAGUUCAAAUUGAAACUAGGCAAAAAAACUGCAAUGAUUAUGAGGGAAAUAUGUGAAGACUCAUACCUCGUCACCUUCACGCAUUAGGGAACGCACUAGCGUUGGGGCUGUGUAAAAUAAUGUCACCUUGUAUUUAUCAACAAUAUCCCAACAUCGUCCAGAAUUGGGAUAGUUCGGGGCCUACAGGUAUCAUUCACAAGGUAUUACCAAGAUAAAAAUAUUUUGUUGACAUGAGAAAAGAAAAAGAAUCUUGACGAACAAAACAUCUAUUAAAAAAUUAUAUACAAAGGAUAAGGGAGAAAAAAGUUGAGUUUUAUUUAUCUGUCAAUUUGCAGAAUGUAACAAUUUAAAAAUCAGAACUCUGAAUGUUGUUGUCAGAAAGCACAUUUAAACAUUGUUAAUGUUCAAGGAAGGAAGAGACAUUUGCAGAUUGUUACCCCUUCAAAGACAACAACAGUAGCACCAUUCAAAAGAGGGCCAUAUGUAACAUAGCUGUGUCCUGUUAUCCAGCCACAAUCGGCAGUGCACCUGAGUUUGGAGAAUAAAUUAUAUGAAGGCAUUGCAGAACAGGUAAGUUUUACAGAAAUGACUUAAAACACAUUCUGGAACAACCCAUGACCACAUAAACACCAGCAUACCAAUAUAUAUCUGAUGGCUUAUGGUCGAAUGCAUACUUAAAUGUUGUUGCAGUAUAUACCAUAUAUCCCCCAGUUGUAUGCAGAACUCCCUGCAUAUUGAAGCAUAAGUAUCCAUCACUUAUCAAUCAAAAAAUUAAUGAACAAAAAAAAUCAAGAAAUAUCUGUGACCUUUGGUUUUCCAGUGCUACCACUUGUGUACAGGAGAAAUAGUGGAUCUUCUGCAUCAACCCAUUCCACAGCACACUUUGUCGGAAAUUGUGGAACUACAUCCUGAAUAUUGCAACAUUGAAUGCAAAUUAAAGAUGUAAUCAAGAUACUAGUUUAUUGCUAGUGUUCAACAGCAGAGAUCCAAUCAUAUAACUAAAAGUUUCAUCUGUGAUAUGCCAGCACUGAACAAAUUAUUGGACUAACCUGCCACCAUACAUCUCUUCCCUCCUGCCACUUCGUAUCUUCUCUCUUCAUAGCUGACUGGUUUUCAAAAGUCAAACACAGGCCUGUUUAACCAGAAGAGGAAAAAAGAAGUAAUCAGAUCGUUCAAAUGUGAACAAUGCAGAAGUAGAUAGAAAAAGCUGACAAUAGAAAAAAAGAUCCGGCUCUGCGACAUGUAAAGAUGUUUUAUCAUACUACAAGUGAACUUUAUGAUUUCAUAUGGAGAAGUUUAGUGAACAUUAAGAAAAUGUGAGAAUGUCGUGCUCCGUCUAUCUCUAAUUCUGCAUAAACUAGUUGAUUAGCAUAUAUUUAAUAUUCCACAUAUAUAUCAUCCAAAAAAUAAAAAACAAAUCAAAAGCAAAUUAAAUAAAUUAAAAAAUAAAAAAAUCGAACAUGAAUGUAAGUCGUCGAGGAUGAAAAAGGACUGCCUACAUUCAGAGGCAGAUAAUUCAAUGGUCUACAAUGAUAUAUGCAUAUUGUUCAAUAAUAUGUUAAAACUGAUCAUUGCAAAAACUAACAUACCUACAGGGACUCCACUUUUGACAGAUUCAUUGAUAGCGCUGUCAACUAUGUCUUUGAGAUGGAUGGCUUUGGGGCCUCUCCUCACAGCAUUACAUGUUAUUACAACCUUGGGUUUGCAGUCAAUGAUCCUUUGUGCAAGGGACUCGGCAGAGAAGCCCGCAAAUACAACCUGAGCAGAGCUUGUAACAUCUCACUUGUUAAAUCUGAUCUCGACGACACAGAUCUGACAAGAAAAUUCACCAGCUUACCGAGUGGACCGCACCAAUACGGGCACACGCUAACAUUGAGAUCAGCAACUCCAUCAGCAUAGGGAGGUAGAUCACCACUGCGGCUCCUUUGCGAACGCCAACAUGUUUCAAGUAAUUGGCAAGCUAUCGCAGAAUAAUUAUACGAUCAAUUAAACAACAAAAACUCAUGGUUCUUUAAAUUCAAUUUGGAAUGGAUCGAAGCAUACCUGGCAAACCUUCUCCAACAGCUCAGCAUAGGUUAGCUGCUCAUCGUCACCAGGUUCGUUGCCUUCCCAGUAGAUAGCAACUUUUCCACCAUUCCCUGCCUCAAUGUUCCGAUCCAAAGCAUUGUAGCUUAUGUUCGUACUGGCUCCUUUGAACCACUGCGAUCAGCGAUAGUACUACACGAAUUCAGCGUCCUGUGCAGAUCAUCAUUUCGAAUAGAUCAAGCUUACACAUUAAACAACCGACCUCGAACUUAACGGUCCCCUUCCUCACAUCAAUGUUCUCGUUGUAGACCUCCGGAUCCCAUUUCUCCUUCCAGUAGAACUGGGAAGCGAUCUCAGACCAGAAUCCGGCAGGAUCUUGAAUCGACCGCUCAUACAUUUUUCGAUACUAAUGAUUUACGAAAUCAAUGCAGAGAUCAUAAGCAAAUUAAUCAAUUGAAGAAAACAACAUUGGCUAACAUUGCAAGUAAUGGAAUCUUUUCUUAUGGAAGCAAUGGAAUCUUCAACAAAAGCCGGAUCUUUGGGCUCAAUGACUAAUCUCGCGCUCACGAGAGUUCAGAUCAGGGGCUCUGAAGACACGGAACGCACCUGUUCGGGGGAGGAGACGAGAGCCUGACGAGAAAAGUCCUGGGAGGGGAAGACGAGGUCGUUCUCCUCGGAGGCGAGGGUCUCGCCGAGGAUGACGGCGUUGAGGUGGGAGAUCUUUCCAGCUCCGGAGGGCAGCUGGGCCAUCGACUCCACAUGCCGGAGGUGGUCCGAGGACGCGAAACUCUGCCGCGGAGACGCCGUCGCGGCCUCACCCGUCGUCAUCCCGAAAUAGUGACGCCGUCCACAGCCGCCUCGGCGGAGACCAAAGGUGGUAAUGCGGAAGCGGCGGCGCAGAGUUUCGAGGCCGGAACGCAAGGACAGAGAUGUCGUCGCCGAGAUCUGAGACGACGUCUGUAUUAUAAGAUGCGCAUAUUCAUAUUACUAAUUAAUAAUUGUAGAGAUGAUUGGCGCUUCUGUAAAAAUAAAAAUCUUUUUUUUUUGACAUAAAUAUCCUUAUGAAGUUUGGAAAUAAAAUUAUCUUUCUAUUAUCAAUUGUUAAUAUCCAUCAAGAAUCAAGAGAUUCUCCAUUUCUAACAUCUAUCCGUAAAAUCCUGUACGUUAUUAGACCGCAUUCCUGAGAACGACAAUGAUCACCGGUGAAGGCAUUAUCAAUCAGAUCGGGAAGAAGGAAAAGCCAAUACGGAUUUGGGGAUGAUCAUUGCAUGGCUUUGGACCAAUAAAUGUUAGGUAGCGGUGGGGAGGUGGAAAUCUUGGAUUACGGUGUUCAACGGAAUGGGUUGGUGGCUAAACAAGUGGACUGACUUAUGUUGGUGAAGAAAUUAAUGGCAAAAGACGGACGAAGAUACAUUGACCACUGUUUUAUUCGGUAUUUAUUGCCCUGCGUGGCAUCCACGGAGUUCAGAUUCCUACGGACCACUCUGAAUCCGAGCUCGUCAUCUUGCCUGUACCAGUACGGUUCGACGUUUCUUGGAUCUCACGUACGUAUUAUUAUUGUAAUAGAUUUCGUAGCUUUUCAGAUCGGAUCUAUGACGGUGUUUCAAUUGAAUAAGGAGAAUCCGUCCAUAUAGUCGACAUUUCAGAUUCACGUAUAUUAUUUAUUAUCCAAUAUUAAUCUAGAAAUCAUAUGAGAAAUAACCAUUUUAAUCUAUCCAAAAUAAAAAUCCAUGUCAGAAAUCUCGAGUCAGAUGUUGGAUUAUGGAGUCGCAACUAACGUCGUUUGGUAGACCAAAAGUGACGUACUCGAUUUGCCAGAGUCGUAAAACUGACUGCAUCAGGCUUGUCGUCGCUUUCCACCAACCUCAAAGUAGUAGGUAGAUCUGAAAACCUUCAACCACUCAUCAGAUAUAAUCUUAUCUUCCAUUAUGCAGAUCUAAAAUGGAUGAUUUAGCAAUAAAUAAUUUUGGAAAAUUUUCCAGAAUAAUAACCUUUCAGAUAAAGUAAGGUAUUCAUGCCAAUCAACUAGAAGCAUAAGCACUUACCACUUGCAAUGUCCACCUCAACAUCAGGAUCCAUGAAACCCAAAAGACAACCCGAAAGAACUGCUUGUACGAGUAAUAAGACAUCAAGAUCUGUCUUCUGACUCGGUCGGGAACUUGCUCGACAAUUCAUCAACUCCCAGGAAACUUGGUAAUCAAUAAGACAGGUUUAUAAUGCCUCUGGGCAAUUCAUAAACUGGCCCAGGUGCAUAUCAUGCGUGCAAUCCAAAAAUAAGUAUUUGUCCAUCAUUCUAUUGAAGCAACGAAUGACGAUUUGCUUUUUU
rnacentral:lncRNA from 1 species